GAUGAACGCUGGCGGCGUGCUUAACACAUGCAAGUCGAACGGAAAGGCCCAAGCUUGCUUGGGUACUCGAGUGGCGAACGGGUGAGUAACACGUGGGUGAUCUGCCCUGCACUUCGGGAUAAGCCUGGGAAACUGGGUCUAAUACCGGAUAGGACCACAUUUUGGAUGGUGUGGUGGAAAGUUUUUCGGUGUGGGAUGAGCUGGCGGCCUAUCAGCUUGUUGGUGGGGUAAUGGCCUACCAAGGCGUCGACGGGUAGCCGGCCUGAGAGGGUGUACGGCCAAAUUGGGACUGAGAUACGGCCCAGACUCCUACGGGAGGCAGCAGUGGGGAGUAUUGCACAAUGGGCGCAAGCCUGAUGCAGCGACGCCGGGUGGGGGAUGACGGCCUUCGGGUUGUAAACUCCUUUCGCUAGGGACGAAGCGUUAUGUGACGGUACCUGGAGAAGAAGCACCGGCUAACUACGUG
rnacentral:rRNA from 1 species